AUGCUCCUUCCAGUCCACGCUCCGACAAGGAACGGCACGGCUCCCCUGUCUAUCUGGUCAGCCAAGUUCAGUGCCGGGGUUGCCGCCGCAGCCUUCCUUGUGCUCCUGCUCGGGGUCGCCGUCGCGGUGCUGCUCCGGCGUGCAAGCACGAGAAACAGGCAGCCAGACGACAAAGACAUGCUCGCCGGCGACAUGACUCCGGACUCCCUCGACAUGGACGACGACGAGUUCGGUUCCAGCGCGGGGCCCCGGCCCAUCCCGUACGCUAACCUGGCGGCGGCGACGAGGAACUUCGCGGAGGAAGGGAAGCUGGGGCAGGGCGGGUCCGGGUCGGUGUACCGGGGCCACAUGAAAGAGCUCGGCGGCCGCGAUGUCGCCAUCAAGGUAUUCUCUCGGGGGGCGUCCUCGGAGGGGAGGAAGGAGUACAGGUCGGAGGUCACCAUCAUCAGCAGGCUGCGCCACCGGAAUCUUGUGCAGCUCAUCGGCUGGUGCCAUUGCCGCCGGCGGCUGCUGCUGGUCUACGAGCUCGUGCACAACGGCAGCCUCGAUGGCUACCUCUACGGCAAACAAGAGGUUCUGACAUGGCAAGUUAGAUAUACCAGAUAA
rnacentral:rRNA from 1 species